rnacentral:rRNA from 1 species
AGUGAACGCUGGCGGUAGGCCUAACACAUGCAAGUCGAACGGCAGCACAGUAAGAGCUUGCUCUUACGGGUUGCGAGUGGCGGACGGGUGAGGAAUACAUCGGAAUCUACUUUUUCGUGGGGGAUAACGUAGGGAAACUUACGCUAAUACCGCAUACGACCUACGGUUGAAAGCAGGGGAUCUUCGGACCUUGCGCGAUUGAAUUAGCCGAUGUCGGAUUAGCUAGUUGGCGGGGUAAAGGCCCACCAAGGCGACGAUCCGUAGCUGGUCUGAGAGGAUGAUCAGCCACACUGGAACUGAGACACGGUCCAGACUACUACGGGAGGCAGCAGUGGGGAAUAGUGGACAAUGGGCGCAAGCCUGAUCCAGCCAUACCGCGUGGGUGAAGAAGGCCUUCGGGUUGUAAAGACCUUUUGUUGGGAAAGAAAAGCAGCAGGUUAAUACCCCGCUGUUCUGACGGUACCCAAAGAAUAAGCACCGGCUAACUUCGUG